CCAAUAGCGUAUAUUAAAGUUGUUGCAGUUAAAAAGCUCGUAGUUGAACUUCGGGGUCUACCCAUUGGUCAGGCUUAAUUGUCUGCACUGGUGAGAUGGAUCUCUACCUUCUGAGGAACUUUCAUGCCAUUUAUUUGGUGUGAUGGGAAAUCAGGACUGUUACUUUGAAAAAAUUAGAGUGUUUAAAGCAGACUAUCGUCUGAAUACAUUAGCAUGGAAUAAUGAAAUAGGACGGACUGAUUCUAUUUCGUUGGUUUCUAGGAUCACCGUAAUGAUUAAUAGGGAUAGUUGGGGGCAUUAGUAUUCAAUUGUCAGAGGUGGAAUUCUUGGAUUUAUUGAAGACUAACUACUGCGAAAGCAUUUGCCAAGGAUGUUUUCAUUAAGCAAGAACGAAAGUUAGGGGAUCGAAGACGAUCAGAUACCGUCGUAGUCUUAACCAUAAACUAUGCCGACUAGGGAUCGGACGAAGUUAAUUUUAUAAUGACGCGUUCGGCACCUUACG
rnacentral:rRNA from 1 species